CUGCCGCUCCGGGAGUGGCCUCCCGCCGCUGAUUGGCUGCAUGCAAAUGAGGAGUAUCCAACCUUCCAUUUGAGGCUGGGUCUUCUGUUCAGCCCUGAGGUGACCUCUCGGUCUCUUCGCGAGUUCGCUCGCUGCCCGCGUGGCGCAGGGCUUUAAGCGCUGGACCUGAGACUCCGGCAGACCCGGGUUCGAGUCCCAGCGUCGGCUAAUUCGGUUUUGUGUCGGCUGAUGAAAAAAAGAGAUGAAACAAGAGAAGACCGAAUUCCUGGUUUGUUAUUUUGAACGGUGAAAAGCUGGAGCAAUGCCAUGUUUUUGACAGCAGAAAAAAGCUACAAACCUUGAACAAAGAAUUUAAACAGCCAGGCCACAGCACUAGUCUUCCUCUUCCACCAAAUCUGUUGCUGCCACUACAGCUUGCACACAGCGGUUCCUCCUAGACAUCAUUACAACUGAAGAUCAAUGCACUGCAAUUACAUGUUCUGUCUCUUCAGUGCAUCAGAGAACAGGGGGGCUUCCUGGAUAGAAUACAAGGAGAAUUGAUCAUACAAACUCAACAGGAAGAAUUUGUAAAGAAAAACGAAGAGGCCUGUAACACUGAGGAAACGUCACUGUCGGGAGCAGACCAUAGAGAAGGGAUUGAGAACAUCUCCAACUAAGCAAUUGCUUCCUACAUCUUCAGAAGGAUAGUCGCAGUGAAGAUACUCAGACAGGAAACCAGCAACAAGGGAUACCACAUGCCAAGGAAGGAGUCAAAGUAACCACCAACCACAAGAAGAAGAAAAGAAAGGCACUGGUGGUUGUGCUUUCAGGAUCUCUGGUUGGGUGUUCUGAAAUUCUGUUGUGCCUUACAGACUUAGGUUUGGAGAAGAAACAUUUUGGGCCUAGUAUUGGCGCUUGCCUGAAUCUGAAUAGUACAUAUUGACAAAGGUAGUACUUUCUGUGAGAAAUUGCAGGGACGAUUAUUGUGCUAUAAACUAAGAAAGGAUGCUUGGUUUCCAGGAAACUGCUCUGUGUAUAUUACUGACAGUGAAAGAUCACAGUGCUGAUAAUUAUUGUUAUUAUUUUGGGAAAUAUGUAAACAAAGACAAAUAUUUUUAAAGGGCUGACCUGGAAAAGGGAACUGCAUAUGUAUUUGAUAAGAAAAUGCUUUAAAAACCGAAGACACCAGGAUUUCAUUCUUCAGUUCUCAGCUGUUCUUCUAACCUGGGAGGUCCAGGCUGCCAGUAAUGGAAUGGGAGAUUCAUUGAGGCAGCUUCCAUUUAUAGCCAUGUAAGCCACAUGCCUGAAAUUCUUUGCAUAUAAGAAGUAAAAACAGUCCUGUUCACAUAUCCAACAUUUUAGUCACCCAAAUACUUUACUUAUUACUUUGUGCCAUAACGGUAUUGGAUUUGAUGCUUUGGAGACAAUGGCCUGGUGCAGACGGGCACAAUAGGACGCCCUCUUCAUGUGUGAGUGGUGGCGCUUCUAGACGCCCCUUGCCCCUUGUAUGUGUUGGGGUUGUCAAAAUGGCGGCACCCUGUACAGAUGGGCACCACCAUAAUUAAGUGAUGGACGCCUAGCAUCUGCGCGUCACAGUGCCAUUAUGACAUUGCGAGUGCGCCAUUGGCGCGCUGCGGCAUCAUAAUCACACUGCAAGAAGAAUCCACUUUUUGCAGGUUCUUUUUGGUCUUUGGGGAAGUGCCACGGUCUGGAGGCUGGGGCUUCCUCACAGCCCAAAGCUAGGCGCUGGGAGACUGUCCUUUUUGGACGGUCUGUCCCAUGCCUCAGUCCGCAAAAAGAGUCUCUAGUGCAAGAAGUUUGCAAUCUAAAUUGCAUCAUUUGGAAGAGAUGCCAGUCCUAGCUCAUGCCAAGUAAAGCAAGGUAGGAUGGGGUGGGUAAAGGUAGUCCCAGGCUGAAACAGAACAUGGCCAAAAUAAGGCAGGUAUAGACAUUGUUUUUGUUCUUUUAAAUGCUGAAUAUUUACACUAGUUAUUUAAGAUAUAGUACAUUUGAGUUUAAUAAAAAACAAACAAACCCAGCACAGUUAGCUCCACAUGCCUAAGGCUGAUUUUAGUUGUCUGCAGUUUGUCAAAUUAUUAGUUUUUCUUGAAAACAGCCAGCAUAGUGCAAUGGUUUGAGUGUUGGACUAAGGCUCUGGGAGACCAGGGUUCAAAUCCCCACUCAGCCAUGGAAACCCAAUGAGUGAUCCUAGGCAAGCCACAUU